rnacentral:rRNA from 1 species
GAUGAACGCUGGCGGCGUGCCUAAUACAUGCCAGUCGAGCGAACAGACGAGGAGCUUGCUCCUCUGACGUUAGCGGCGGACGGGUGAGUAACACGUGGAUAACCUACCUAUAAGACUGGGAUAACUUCGGGAAACCGGAGCUAAUACCGGAUAAUAUAUUGAACCGCAUGGUUCAAUAGUGAAAGACGGUUUUGCUGUCACUUAUAGAUGGAUCCGCGCCGCAUUAGCUAGUUGGUAAGGUAACGGCUUACCAAGGCAACGAUGCGUAGCCGACCUGAGAGGGUGAUCGGCCACACUGGAACUGAGACACGGUCCAGACUCCUACGGGAGGCAGCAGUAGGGAAUCUUCCGCAAUGGGCGAAAGCCUGACGGAGCAACGCCGCGUGAGUGAUGAAGGUCUUCGGAUCGUAAAACUCUGUUAUUAGGGAAGAACAAAUGUGUAAGUAACUAUGCACGUCUUGACGGUACCUAAUCAGAAAGUCACGGCUAACUACGUG